UGAGGAAUAUUGGACAAUGGGCGCAAGCCUGAUCCAGCCAUGCCGCGUGCAGGAUGACGGUCCUAUGGAUUGUAAACUGCUUUUGCACAGGAAGAAACACCCCCUCGUGAGGGGGCUUGACGGUACUGUGAGAAUAAGGAUCGGCUAACUCCGUGCCAGCAGCCGCGGUAAUACGGAGGAUCCAAGCGUUAUCCGGAAUCAUUGGGUUUAAAGGGUCCGUAGGCGGAUUUGUAAGUCAGUGGUGAAAUCUCCCCGCUCAACGGGGAAACGGCCAUUGAUACUGCAAGUCUUGAAUUAUUAGGAAGUAACUAGAAUAUGUAGUGUAGCGGUGAAAUGCUUAGAGAUUACAUGGAAUACCAAUUGCGAAGGCAGGUUACUACUAAUGGAUUGACGCUGAUGGACGAAAGCGUGGGUAGCGAACAGG
rnacentral:rRNA from 1 species